UUACAGAUGUGCUUGUGCAUGGAAAGAUUUAGACAAGACAUUUAGAGCCAUUUAAUUGACACUGCUUUACAGGGUUUUUAUUUAGUCAAAUUAGAGGGCAUUGCUUUAGUCUGUUUAAAGGGCCCUUUAUCUUGCAGCUAGCAUCCAGUAAUUUGUCUUACAUAAACAGUUAAAGGGUGUCGGGAUCUCAAUAUAGCAGUUUGACAGAAGUGUUAAAUAUAGGUAUCAUCUAAACUCACUGGAAAUGGUGCUUGCUUUUCCUAAGGACACAGUCCAAAAGCGAACAAAAAUGAAAGGGGAAAACUUCCAGCAGGCUUUCUUGGCUCAAAUCAUAACAACUGUGUUAAUCAGAGCUUUGUUUUGCACUGCCUGCAAAUUGCCUUUCAACAGUCAGUACAAAAGUUAGCAAAGCAUAAGCAUUCAUGUGACAAGAAUAACUCCCCUAGGAGUGGGAGCUGAAGCUGACCUUCUGAGGAGAGGACAUUGCACAACUCCAAAUUAUGCUAUACAUGAGGUCUGAAGCACAUGGAAAGAACAGGAACACAACUUUGCAGGCACCACAAGAUGCUUUUGUCAAGAGCUCACUCUAUGCAGUCAUACAAUGGGAAAUCAAGGCCUGAAUGAAAAAUGUGUCUGCCUCAGGAUGGUACCAAAAAUCUCAUUGUGAACACUGGAAGCCAGGACAGAAUUACAAUUAACAACCAAAAAAACUGUCAGCUAGAGGAACCUGGUUGUGACUUUGUGUUCAAGGAUGUCCGUCUGUCUCCCAUGUGGUCCCAUCCCAGGCAGAAGCGGGGUCCCAACGCCCGCCAGCCCCAGGGAGCCCUGCC
rnacentral:lncRNA from 1 species